UCCAGGCGGCCAUGCUGGCAUCAGAUGUUGCGUUUCACUUUCAUCUUAAAAACCAUCGCUUCCCCAGUCACAAGCACACAGAGAGUCUACUGAUUAUCCAGGUUGUGACGUUCUACUGGGCAUUACUAGCUUCAGUGUAUUCCCUUCAGGCAGGGAAUCGCAGAAUGGGCUACUUAUCUUUGGCAUCAGUCUUUCUUAACCUAGGUGUUUUUUCCCUACGGAUCGGUUAUGAGUUCAUCAUGAUGAGGUUCAGAGCAGAGGAAUACUGAGGCGAACUGGCUCUG